AUUGAACGCUGGCGGCAUGCCUUACACAUGCAAGUCGAACGGUAACGGGCCUUCGGGUGCCGACGAGUGGCGAACGGGUGAGUAAUACAUCGGAACGUGCCCGAACGUGGGGGAUAACGAGGCGAAAGCUUUGCUAAUACCGCAUACGAUCUACGGAUGACAGCAGGGGACCGCAAGGCCUUGCGCGGACGGAGCGGCCGAUGGCAGAUUAGGUAGUUGGUGGGAUAAAAGCUUAUCAAGCCGACGAUCUGUAGCUGGUCUGAGAGGAUGAUCAGCCACACUGGGACUGAGACACGGCCCAGACUCCUACGGGAGGCAGCAGUGGGGAAUUUUGGACAAUGGGCGCAAGCCUGAUCCAGCCAUGCCGCGUGCAGGAUGAAGGCCUUCGGGUUGUAAACUGCUUUUGUACGGAACGAAAAGCCUUCUUUUAAUACAGGAGGGUCAUGACGGUACCGUAAGAAUAAGCACCGGCUAACUACGUG
rnacentral:rRNA from 1 species